UUUAAAUGUAAAAUAAAUAUACUAAAGUAGUAUUAGUUAUGUUCUUGAAAUUUAAAGAUUUUGGCGGUAUUUUAGUCUAUUUAGAGGAACCUGUUCUAUAAUUGAUAAUCCACGAUUAAUUUUACUUAAUUUAUAUAAAUUUGUAUACCGUCGUUAUAAGAAGAUUUUAAAAGAAUAUAAAUUUUUAAUAUGUUAUAUAAAAGAAUAUAUCAGAUCAAGGUGCAGUUGAUAAUUAAGAAGAAAUGGGUUACAAUAAAUUUAUUUAUAUACGGAUUAAAAUAAGAAUAUAAAUUUUAUGAAGGUGGAUUUAAUAGUAAUAAUAUUAAUUUAAAUUUUAUGAUUUUAGCUCUAAAAUAUG
rnacentral:rRNA from 2 species